ACAUUUGUUGUACAAAUACUCACCUUCGGCGGCUUCACUCUGUAUUUCACGUGGAGUGGAGUGGGGUCAGCAAUGCCUUUGGGUGAUAAAUCAAAUAGUUCCCAGUCACUUUCUGAUAAAUGUGACAGGCUUUGGAGCAGACUACAAUUGUUGAGAUUUAAAUACCAGAUGAUAGAGCAAAGAAUUGCCUAUGCAUUGAUAUGCUUAGUUUGCACAUACCUUUUUUCAUACCUGAGUUAUGCGCGUUGGAAACUCAAUUCUGAAAUAGCGGUAUUGAGAAACGCCCACUUAAAGAUUGCUAAAUUGGGAAAAGUAAGGUAAUGGUGGCUGCUUAGACAAAGCGCUUCGGUGGAACGCGUUGGAUUCAGAGCAUCAGUAGAAAGACUGUAGAUGACUAUAAGCUAAGAAAAAUUAUUAUGAGAUUAUACACUGCCAUUGCUCAAUACCAAUAUCUGCUCCAAUAUGGCCUUUUUCCCACAAAUCAUCAGAACAUAUCACAUUUUCACUAAAAUCACUCAUAUCAACAGCCCAGACUUUCGUACUAUCGUUGUAGAAGAAACUCUUCUGAUCCAUGUUGUUUGUUUAUUAUUAUAGCUGAGGUUUUUCUAAAUAAACCCCAGCUAAAUUACAAUAUAUUUCUCCAAUAAAACGAAUUGUUUUUGGCGGCUCUGCUUAAUUAUUAGCUAGCUAGCUAGUCUGCCUGGAGUCUGACUGUAGCUGUUCUGCCUCGCCAUGAGUCAGCUGAAUAUGAGUGGGGAUUUGUUUAGUAGGAGUGUUUAGUAGGAGUGAACAAUCCUCCAAGUCCUUACACCAACAAGGCGACCAUUGUCAGAGCAUUCGUCAGGUGCCCACCAUCGGCAAGAGAGCCUGGCAGAUGUGAGUAAUAGCUCUUGAGUGAACUGCAGAAAACUAAUGCCCGCUUAGAAGAGUUUGGAAACACUUUGAAGUCGAUGGAGCAACGACUUGAAUCUAUUGAGUCAAUCGAUAUCACCAGUAGCUCAGUCGAUGGAGCAAUGACUUGAAUCUAUUGAGUCAAUCGAUAUCACCAGUAGCUCCUUUAAAAAGAGAAAGAAAGUUGUUCCUGUCAAAGCUUUACAUGUAUAUACUCAGCCAUAAUGACAACGAUCACAUUGAAUCUUGUAGGGUUGUGUGCGGGACGUAUACAAAACCCUAUUGGAAGAUGUCUAUUGGAAGAUAAUGAAAACAAUUUUGAAGGAUUUGUCCUCACGUAAGUGUAGAAUAUUAAGAUGCAGAAAAUCAGAAUGUAGUGAAGAGGGUGAUUCAAGAGGUGAAGAGUAUUGAGGCAAAUUAUUGGUAAGUCGCCUCGGUGUGCAUGCGCAAGCGAGCUGUCUGUGUAGACUGUGGAAGUAAAACUUCUGCAAAAUAAUGUAAAACUUCUGCUAAAUACAAUCUCUACUGAAAAUUUUAGACUUGGACUAUUUGGCAUCGAUCGUUUUUAAUAAUAAUCAUUCACAUUACCCACUCCCUGUGAUUAUGCCUGCAAUAUAAGUAGCUUAAUGUUAUGUAGCUCUGGCACCGCACAUCAGCAUCCACAAUGCUUUGUUGCGUUGGUAAUGUUUUUUGUGGUGAAUUCGUUCAAACUUUUAGUACUGUUGUACACCCAGGGGCGUUUCUAGAGAUUGAAGCAGGAGAGAUUGAAGCAGGAGGGUGCUCAAAAGUACAGAAAAAAAAAUGGAGCCGCGCGCGCGAUUUUACGCCCCCGCAUUUAUUGCGGCGUAUCUUUCAUACAUCCAGGUCCUCCCCCAUGCAGCCUUGCAGCAAAAAAGUACAGCACACUGCCCAAGAAAAGAGCGGCUCCUACUAUUCUCCUCUAGAGCUUCUCUCUUCCUAGCUACAAUAAUUUUUCUGUGUAUCUUCUUGUAAAUGACAAUAAAAUAAUUAUAAUGUAUAAUGUUGUAGUUUGAGUAAUCUAUAGUACCGGUACUAUAGCUCAUACUUCCCUGCUAAAUACACUCAAAUGGGAUCUAAUACAUGCAUAGCGUGAUAAUAAGACAUAAUUAUGAGUCAGUCAUCUCCAUGCACUAUUCUUCUGGGGUACAUCCUAGCAAACUGGUCAAUCACAAUGGGGAUGUCCAGUCAUUCUAGUGUUAGUCAUUGCUUCUCAGUAUCUCUCAGUGGAGCAAGAGGUGACUGGGAUAGUGCAGAGGAUCUAUUAUGCAUGCAAUUAACAACAUUGGAAUGGCAAUACUGAUUGCACAUGUGAUGACUUGUAAUCGUUUUGUAAUCGUUGUGUCAAUGAGAUAGAGCUGCACAGUUAGCUAGCUAGCUACUGAGUGAUACGAUUAGUUUCAUGGUUGUCUGGGAGGACAGGGGGGUGCUCAAGCCCCCCAUUGUACACGCCACUGUAACACCAAUCAAAACUUGAUAAAGACUCUCUUAAGGAAGAGUCUUAAGGAGAAAGGAGCCAAUCAAAGGCGUCUUAAUAGAGUCAAAAGGAAAUUGGAAUUGAGGAAGGCUUCUCAGCAACAUCAGUUUCCGAAGAACAAAAGAGUAAAAUCCUUGUGAAUGACUUUGUGUCAAGUGAAGAAAGUACCGUGGAAAGCUCUGGUGGGACUGUUCUUAAAGUUAAACCACUUCCAUGGCGAUGUGAAAAGAUCAAUCGUUUCUUUAAAAAACUACAGAACUAAAGCUAAGAGAAAACCAUCAAGGCAAUCCACCCAACAGACACUUGCGGGUGACACGUCAAGCAGACCAAAGCCUAUCAACUUUCCAAGUGAUUUUUGGGGAUUUGAACUCAACUGAAAACGAACCCGAAGAAAACUCAUCUCAAUUAUACUGUGAUGAUUUAUUAAACUCAUUCUGAAUAACUUUCCAAUGAAGAAAACCACAUUUAAUGAUUAUUUUUCAUUUCCAGCACAGAUAUUUCCAAUAAGGAUUCCUUAGUAAAUAAAUAUGCCCAUUCAUAGUUGGGUUCCAUGAGUGUUUCCAUUACAGUGUUUCCAUUAGAUUUCUAUUUGCAUUUCCAGUGUAUUAAUUAUGAUAUUUCCAAUAAUGAUUCCUUUGUUGAGAAAUAUGCUAAGUUUCUGGAUGCUUUAUAAUUAAUUGAUGAUUCUCUUUAACUUAAAUCCAUACGAAUUUCCAUAUUGUUUACAGAUUUUAGUAAGAAUUCCUGUGUAUGUCGUCGUCAUGA